rnacentral:rRNA from 1 species
UACAGAGGGUGCAAGCGUUAAUCGGAAUUACUGGGCGUAAAGCGUGCGUAGACGGUUACAUAAGUCGGGUGUGAAAGCCCCGGGCUCAACCUGGGAAUUGCAUUCGAGACUGCGUAGCUAGGGUGCGGAAGAGGGAAGCGGAAUUUCCGGUGGAGCGGUGAAAUGCGUAGAGAUCGGAAAGAACACCAACGGCGAAAGCACUCUGCUGGGCCGACACUGACACUGAGAGACGAAAGCUAGGGGAGCGAAUGGG